AAAAAAAAAAGAAAUAAUUAAUCGCUUAAUACAUAUCAAAAUCCAACUUUCAACAUCAUUUCUUUCAUAUUUAUAAUUAAUUAUAAUUAAUUUUACAUUUCAUGUCUGUCGUAUAUAAUAAAGACUAAACCAAUUGUAAUUACUUACAACAGCGCCACUAAGACAACCCCUCCAUAAGAAGAGAAGACGUUAAUUUCUCUCCUAGGAGAUAUCGAUACUCCGCGGUUACCACGCGAUCCUUUUGUGCAAACUUGCCUAGUGGUGCAAAAGGUCGAUAAAUGCUUUCUCUUGCUUGUCGAGGAGACAGUACAAAAGAAACUGGAAGAGGAUUCGACAAACAUUUGCAUCAAGAAUGAAGUACAA